GACGAACGCUGGCGGCGUGCCUAAUACAUGCAAGUCGAGCGGACCAAAGGGAGCUUGCUCCUGGAGGUUAGCGGCGAACGGGUGAGUAACACGUGGGCAACCUGCCUGUAAGACUGGGAUAACAUCGAGAAAUCGGUGCUAAUACCGGAUAAUAAAAAGAACUGCAUGGUUCUUUUUGAAAGAUGGUUUCGGCUAUCACUUACAGAUGGGCCCGCGGCGCAUUAGCUAGUUGGUGAGGUAACGGCUCACCAAGGCAACGAUGCGUAGCCGACCUGAGAGGGUGAUCGGCCACACUGGGACUGAGACACGGCCCAGACUCCUACGGGAGGCAGCAGUAGGGAAUCUUCCGCAAUGGACGAAAGUCUGACGGAGCAACGCCGCGUGAGUGAUGAAGGUUUUCGGAUCGUAAAACUCUGUUGUUAGGGAAGAACAAGUGCCGUUCGAAAGGGCGGCACCUUGACGGUACCUAACGAGAAAGCCACGGCUAACUACGUGCCAGCAGCCGCGGUAAAGUA
rnacentral:rRNA from 1 species